AUGCUUUGGCGGCUUUACACUUGUUCUUCGAUGACUCCACGUCCCAUCUGGGUGGUUUCCAUUAUAGUAUUAAAAAAAAGAGAAGAAAAGUCAAUAAUAGAACCAUCCUUUUUUCGAGUGAAUAAUUCUACCAAAAGCAAUUCCAGGUCCAAAUUUUUUGUGGCCAUUAGUGUGAUUCGCCAACUGUUUUGUUCACACCAUAACUCUGGUCUCUAG